rnacentral:misc_RNA from 1 species
UACGGAGGGUCCAAGCGUUAUCCGGAAUCAUUGGGUUUGAAGGGUCCGUAGGCGGGCAGGUAAGUCAGUGGUGAAAUUCUGCAGCUUAACUGGAGAACUGCCAUUGAUACUGUUUGUCUUGAGUUAUUAUGAAGUGGUUAGAAUGAGUAGUGUAGCGGUGAAAUGCAUAGAUAUUACUCAGAAUACCGAUUGCGAAGGCAGAUCACUAAUAAUAUACUGACGCUGAUGGACGAAAGCGUAGGUAGCGAACAGG